AUUGAACGCUGGCGGCAUGCCUUACACAUGCAAGUCGAACGGCAGCACGGGUGCUUGCACCUGGUGGCGAGUGGCGAACGGGUGAGUAAUACAUCGGAACGUGCCCGAGAGUGGGGGAUAACGCAGCGAAAGCUGUGCUAAUACCGCAUACGAUCUACGGAUGAAAGCAGGGGACCGCAAGGCCUUGCGCUCAUGGAGCGGCCGAUGGCAGAUUAGGUAGUUGGUGGGAUAAAAGCUUACCAAGCCGACGAUCUGUAGCUGGUCUGAGAGGACGACCAGCCACACUGGGACUGAGACACGGCCCAGACUCCUACGGGAGGCAGCAGUGGGGAAUUUUGGACAAUGGGCGAAAGCCUGAUCCAGCCAUGCCGCGUGCAGGAUGAAGGCCUUCGGGUUGUAAACUGCUUUUGUACGGAACGAAAAGGUCUUUUCUAAUAAAGAAGGCUCAUGACGGUACCGUAAGAAUAAGCACCGGCUAACUACGUG
rnacentral:rRNA from 1 species